UGCGACCCCAGGUCAGGCGGGACUACCCGCUG
rnacentral:rRNA from 1 species